GCCGAUGUAGCUCAGUUGGUAGAGCACCUCAUUCGUAAUGAGUAGGUCGGCGGUUCGAAUCCGCCCAUUGGCU
rnacentral:tRNA from 1 species